AAAAACUUUCGUCAUGCUCGACGAUGCAUUUUUAAGCCUUUUUAUAUACUUAUUGCUUAAACUUAAAAUCAGUUACGCUCAUAUCGACGGCGCAAAGCUAGAAGAGGAAUGUAAAAUCGCAGACAUAUGCCGUCACGACCAAGUUCCUAUAUGCGGAAUCGAUUCCUGCGGGGAAAUGAGGACAUUCAUCGAUACCUGUGACAUGCACGAGUUCAACUGCGACAGCAAAAAAGAUUUCGUACAAAAGCCGGUCCAUGAAUGCUGGGUGACGUGCAAGCGCGGUAGAAGCUUCAAGAAGAGCGCCUACGGGGCCGACUGUGACCUAAAAAAUAUUAUUAAGUAGGCAGAAUAUAAUUUAGCAUGGGAAUUUUAUUUAUUAUGAUUUGAAUAUUGACGUUA